rnacentral:rRNA from 1 species
AACGUAGGAGACGAGCGUUAUCCGGAUUUACUGGGCGUAAAGCGCGUGCAGGCGGUUUAUUAAGUCACUUGUGAAAGCGCCCGGCUCAACUGGGCGAGGCCGUGUGAGACUGAUAGACCUGAGAGAGGUAGAGGCGAAUGGAAUUCCGGGUGGAGUGGUGAAAUGCGUAGAGAUCCGGAGGAACACCAGUGGCGAAGGCGAUUCGCUGGGCCUUCUCUGACGCUCAGACGCGACAGCAUGGGGAGCGAACGGG